rnacentral:tRNA from 1 species
GGUGUAGUGCUUAUGACAUCUGUCUAACACACAGAAGCUCGGCGGUUCGAUUCCGCCCAAGACCA